AAGUCGUAACAAGGUUUCCGUAGGUGAACCUGCGGAAGGAUCAUUAAUGAAUAACUUUGGCGUGGUUGUAGCUGGCUCUUAGGAGCAUGUGCACACCCGUCAUCUUUAUCUUUCCACCUGUGCACACUAUGUAGAUCUGGAUAACUCUCGCUCUUCUGAGCGGAAACAAGGAUUGCUGCGUCGCAAGGCCAGCUCUCUUUGAAUUUCCAGGUCUAUGUCAUUUACAAACCCCAAUUGAAUGAUGCAGAAUGUCGUCAAUGGGCUCUAAGCCUAUAAAACAAAAUACAACUUUCAGCAACGGAUCUCUUGGCUCUC
rnacentral:misc_RNA from 1 species